AAGCCAGUGAUAGUAAAGCCAUGUUAUGAACUUUAAGGACAUUGAAGUCAUUAAGAUUCCCGGAAAUAGCUACAACA
ensembl:snoRNA